AUUGAACGCUGGCGGCAGGCCUAACACAUGCAAGUCGAACGAGUGGCGGACGGGUGAGUAAUGUCUGGGAAACUGCCCGAUGGAGGGGGAUAACUACUGGAAACGGUAGCUAAUACCGCAUACCAUCGGAUGUGCCCAGAUGGGCUUAGCUAGUCGGUGGGGUAACGGCUCACCUAGGCGACGAUCCCUAGCUGGUCUGAGAGGAUGACCAGCCACACUGGAACUGAGACACGGUCCAGACUCCUACGGGAGGCAGCAGUGGGGAAUCUUGCGCAAUGGGCGAAAGCCUGACGGAGCCAUGCCGCGUGUGUGAGGAAGGUCUUCGGAUUGUAAAGUUCUGUCAUUAGGUAGGCGGUACCUGCAGAAGAAGCGCCGGCUAACUACGUGCCAGCAGCCGCGGUAAUUC
rnacentral:rRNA from 1 species